rnacentral:rRNA from 1 species
UACGGGGGGGGCAAGCGUUGUUCGGAAUUACUGGGCGUAAAGGGUUCGUAGGUGGCCAACUAAGCCAGACGUGAAAUCCCUCAGCUUAACUGAGGAACGGCGCUCGAAACUACCUCGCUUGAGGGCGGGAGAGGGAAGUGGAACUCUCGGUGUAGGGGUGAAAUCUGUAGAUAUCGAGAGGAACACCGGUGGCGAAGGCGGCUUCCUGGCCCGUACCUGACGCUGAGGCGCGAAAGCGUGGGGAGCAAACAGG